rnacentral:rRNA from 1 species
GACGAACCGUGCGAACGUUGUUCGGGUUCACUGGGGUGAAAGGGCGCGUGGGCGGGGGGUCAAGUCCGAGGUGAAAUCUUUCGGCUCAACCGGAAAAGUGCCUUGGAUACUGACUCCCUCGAGGGAGGUAGGGGCAUGUGGAACUUCCGGUGGAGCGGUGAAAUGCGUAGAGAUGUGGAGGAACACCGAUGGCGAAGGCAGCCCCCUGGGCUAACACUGACGCUCAUGCACGAAAGCGUGGGGAGCAAACAGG